GCGCCUGUGGUGUAGUAGUAGCAUAGUCGCCUCCCACGCGACUGACCCGGGUGCAAAUCCCGGCAGGCGCA
rfam:Gonium pectorale scaffold00011, whole genome shotgun sequence.